rnacentral:rRNA from 1 species
UACGUAGGGCGCGAGCGUUGUCCGGAAUUAUUGGGCGUAAAGAGCGUGUAGGCGGCUUUACAGGUCCGUUGUGAAAACUCGAGGCUCAACCUCGAGACGCCGGUGGAAACCGUAAAGCUAGAGUCCGGAAGAGGAGAGUGGAAUUCCUGGUGUAGCGGUGAAAUGCGCAGAUAUCAGGAAGAACACCCGUGGCGAAGGCGGCUCUCUGGGACGGUACUGACGCUGAGACGCGAAAGCGUGGGGAGCGAACAGG